UGGAUCCAGACUUUGAUUCUGGCUCAGGAUGAACGCUAGCUACAGGCUUAACACAUGCAAGUCGAGGGGAAACGACAUCGAAAGCUUGCUUUUGAUGGGCGUCGACCGGCGCACGGGUGAGUAACGCGUAUCCAACCUGCCCACCACUUGGGGAUAACCUUGCGAAAGUAAGACUAAUACCCAAUGAUAUCUCUAGAAGACAUCUGAAAGAGAUUAAAGAUUUAUCGGUGAUGGAUGGGGAUGCGUCUGAUUAGCUUGUUGGCGGGGUAACGGCCCACCAAGGCGACGAUCAGUAGGGGCUCUGAGAGGAAGGUCCCCCACAUUGGAACUGAGACACGGUCCAAACUCCUACGGGAGGCAGCAGUGAGGAAUAUUGGUCAAUGGACGAGAGUCUGAACCAGCCAAGUAGCGUGCAGGAAGACGGCCCUAUGGGUUGUAAACUGCUUUUAUAAGGGAAUAAAGUGAGUCUCGUGAGACUUUUUGCAUGUACCUUAUGAAUAAGGACCGGCUAAUUCCGUGCCAGCAGCCGCGGUAAUACGGAAGGUCCGGGCGUUAUCCGGAUUUAUUGGGUUUAAAGGGAGCGUAGGCCGGAGAUUAAGCGUGUUGUGAAAUGUAGACGCUCAACGUCUGCACUGCAGCGCGAACUGGUUUCCUUGAGUACGCACAAAGUGGGCGGAAUUCGUGGUGUAGCGGUGAAAUGCUUAGAUAUCACGAAGAACUCCGAUUGCGAAGGCAGCUCACUGGAGCGCAACUGACGCUGAAGCUCGAAAGUGCGGGUAUCGAACAGGAUUAGAUACCCUGGUAGUCCGCACGGUAAUCGAUGGAUGCCCGCUGUUGGUCUGAAUAGGUCAGCGGCCAAGCGAAAGCAUUAAGCAUCCCACCUGGGGAGUACGCCGGCAACGGUGCAACUCAAAGGAAUUGACGGA
rnacentral:rRNA from 1 species